rnacentral:rRNA from 1 species
CUGCGAAGAUAUUGUCGAAACCUGCCCAGCAGAAAGACCCGCGAACCUGUUGUACCUCGCGGUGGGUGCCGGGUGCAGCACGCACCCGUCGCUCAUCAUGCCGAGUGCGCGGCGCUCUGCGUCAUGCCCUCGGCCCUGAACGAACCCCGGCGCGGAAUGCGUCAAGGAAAGACAAUGAAACGGGGGGCUACCAAGUCGCCGGAAUCGGUGUAUGUCUUGGUAGUCGCAUCGUGGUUGGUUGAAGUNUAUAACGACUCUCGGCAACGGAUAUCUCGGCUCCCGCAUCGAUGAAAAACGUANCGAAAUGCCAUACUUGGUGUGAAUUGCAGAAUCCCCGUGAACCAUCGAGUUUUUUGAACGCAAGUUGCGCCCNAANCCAUUCGGCGAGGGCACNCCUGCCUGGGCGUCACACACCGUAACCCCCCUAUCCCCUUGCCACUCGUUGUGCAGUGCAUGUGGACUAGAAGGGGCGGAUAUUGGCCUCCCAUGCGAUAUCGGCCGCAUGGUUGGCCCAAACUCGAGUCCCUUGUCACGUGCAUCGUGGCAGAAGGUGGUUGUCGAUCAGUCGGUGCCCCGUCAAUUGAUGCCGGACACGUAAAGGGACUCCCAGCGACCCCAAUGCACCGAUUGUAGGUCCUGAAACGACCCAGUCAGCG